UACGGAGGGGGCUAGCGUUGUUCGGAAUUACUGGGCGUAAAGCGCACGUAAGCGGCUUUGUAAGUUAGAGGUGAAAGCCCGGGGCUCAACCCCGGAAUAGCCUUUAAGACUGCAUCGCUUGAACGUCGGAGAGGUGAGUGGAAUUCCGAGUGUAGAGGUGAAAUUCGUAGAUAUUCGGAAGAACACCAGUGGCGAAGGCGGCUCACUGGACGACUGUUGACGCUGAGGUGCGAAAGCGUGGGGAGCAAACAGGG
rnacentral:rRNA from 1 species